rnacentral:rRNA from 1 species
GACAGAGGGUGCAAACGUUGUUCGGAAUUACUGGGCGUAAAGCGUGUGUAGGCGGCUAGGUAAGUCGGAUGUGAAAGCCCCGGGCUCAACUCGGGAAGUGCACUCGAUACUGUUUAGCUCGAGUACCGGAGAGGUUGGUGGAAUUCUCGGUGUAGAGGUGAAAUUCGUAGAUAUCGAGAGGAACACCGGUGGCGAAGGCGGCCAACUGGACGAGUACUGACGCUGAGACACGAAAGCGUGGGGAGCAAGCAGG